CCUACGUGAGGCAGCAGUAGGGAAUAUUGCUCAAUGGGGGAAACCCUGAAGCAGCAACGCCGCGUGGAGGAUGAAGGUUUUCGGAUUGUAAACUCCUUUUGGUAGAGAAGAUAAUUACGGUAUCUAACAAACAAUCACCGGCUAACUCCGGGCCAGCAUCCGCCGUAAUACGGAGGGUGAAAGCGUUACUCGGAAUCACUGGGCGUAAAUGGCGCGUAGGCGGGAUAGCCAGUCAAAUGUGAAAUCCUAUGGCUUAACCAUAGAACUGCAUUUGAAACUGUUAUUCUAGAGUAUGGGAGAGGUAGGUGGAAUUCUUGGUGUAGGGGUAAAAUCCGUAGAUAUCAAGAGGAAUACUCAUUGCGAAGGCGACCUGCUAGAACAUAACUGACGCGGAUGCGCGAAAGCGUGGGGAGCAAACAGGAUUAGAUACCCGAGUAGUC
rnacentral:rRNA from 1 species